AUGUUGAAGGUUGAAGCAGAAAGAGAGAAUUUUCAGAUAUUUUUGGGGAUUGUUCUGAGGAGAAUGAAGAAUCCAGAUCGAUGCAAGUAUUACUGCCGGUCGGUUUCGUGGUUCAGAUUUCAGCUGGUUUUGAGAAAUAGCAAAAACAAGGAGUUGGAAUCCUCAUGGAGAAUUGGAUGCUUGUUUGGCAUAGCUUUGUGA